rnacentral:sRNA from 1 species
GGGCCCUGGGCUUCUACCCUGCGGAGAUCACACUGACCUGGCAGCGGGAUGGGGAGGACCAAACUCAGGACACCGAGCUUGUGGAGACCAGGCCAGCAGGAGAUGGAACCUUCCAGAAGUGGGCAGCGGUGGUGGUGCCUUCUGGAGAAGAGCAGAGAUACACAUGCCAUGUGCAGCACGAGGGGCUGCCGGAGCCCCUCACCCUGAGAUGGGAGCCAUCUUCCCAAUCUACCAUCCCCAUCGUGGGCAUUGUUGCUGGCCUGGCUGUCCUAGCAGUUGUGGUCAUUGGAAUUGUGGUCCCCGCUGUGAUGUGUAGGAGGAAGAGCUCAGGUAGGGAAGGGGUGAGGGGUGGGGUCUGGGUUUUCUUGUCCCACUGGGGGUUUCAAGCCCCAGGUAGAAGUGUUCCCUGCCUCAUUACUGGGAAGCAGCAUCCACACAGCGGCUAAUCCAGCCUGGGACCCUGUGUGCCAGCACUUACUCUUUUGUGCAGCACAUGUGACAAUGAAGGACGGAUGUAUCACCUUGAUGAUUACGGUGUUGGGGUCCUGAUUCCAGCAUUCAUGAGUCAGGGGAAGGUCCCUGCUAAGGACAGACCUUAGGAGGGCAGUUGGUCCAGGACACACACCUGCUUUCCUCAUGUUUCCUGAUCCUGUCCUGGGUCUGUAGUCAUAGUUCUGGAAAUUUCUCUUGGGUCCCAGACUAGGGGGUUCCUCUAAGAUCUCAUGGCCCUGCUUCCUCCCAGUCCCCUCACAGGACAUUUUCUUCCCACAGGUGAGAAAGGAGGGAGCUACUCUCAGGCUGCAUGCAGCGACACUACCCAGGGCUCUGAUGUGUCUCUCACGGCUUGAAAAGCCUGAGACAGCUGCCUGUGUGGGACUGAGAUGCAGGAUUUCUUCACGCCUCCCUUUUGUGACUUCAAGAGACUCUGGCAUCUCUUUCUGCGAAGGCAUCUGAAUGUGUCUGCAUCCCUGUUAGCAUAAUGUGAGGAGGUGAAGAGACAGCCCACUCCCGUGUCCACCGUGACCCCUGUUCCCAUGCUGACCUGUGUUUCCUCCCCAGUCAUCCUUCCUGUUCCAGAGAGAUGGGGCUGGAUGUCUCCAUCUCUGUCUCAACUUCAUGUGCACUGAGCUGCAACUUCUUACUUCCCUACUGAAAAUAUGAAUCUGAAUAUAAAUUUGUUUUCUCAAAUAUUUGCUAUGAGAGGUUGACGGGUUAAUUAAAUAAGUCAAUUCCUAGAAUUUCAGAGAGCAAUUAAAGACCUGAGAACCUUCCAGAA